CCCAAACGCGGACCCCAUGUUGAGGAUUAUGUUUUAUUGAGGCAUCAUUUACUUGCAGUAAAAUGCACAGGUCUUAAGUGGAACAUGGGAGGAGUUUGGACAACUGUGUAUAAUCACCACCCAGAUCAAGGUCUAGAACGCCCCAUCAUCACCCCAGAAAGUUCCCUUGUACUCUUCCCUGCUCACCCCCCAUCCUGAGCCCUACGCAGCCACUGCUCUUCUUCCUCUCACUGGAGCAUGUGGACUUCUGUGGAGGGCGUGGACUUGUCUGCCUGUUUUGCUCAGCUUUCUCUGCGUGGCUGAGCUGGGAGCAGCUCCCUGUCCUGCUCUGCUGCGCCGUCCCCCAUGGCAAGGGUCUGCCGCCAUGGUAAACACCUGUGAGUGCAAGGGCUGGGUCCCAAGGCAGACAUAGGCUUUACCGUUUUAAGGAACUGCCAGACAGAUUUCCAAGUGACUGUGCCUCUGCAUUCCUGCCAGCAGCGGAUGAGAGUUCUGGCGCUCUGUCCUCAUCCUUGCCAGCGGUGUUUAUGACACCUGUUCAGACUUCUAAAGUCCAAGAAGGGACCUCAGCAACACAGGCACGUCUCCUGGGCAGAGGCGUGCGUCAUGGAAAACUUGGAGGCUGGUGAUUGGGCCGUCUCUGCUGCAAAGUCAAGUCCCCGAACGCUUGAAAAACAACAUAAUGUAUUCCUGUCUGCAGCUCUGAGCGAAAGCUCAUUUUGUGUCCUGUGUUUCCAUUUCCUGAGGAUUAAUAAGUGUGGAGGGGAACUCGGGCUUCGUGCCGAAUAUUUAUUUAGUCAAUAUACGCAUCAAUUUAGCAAAUUAGAGAUCGCAAGCCAUUUCUAAGCAAUGCUGUAAAAAUAAUAGCUGUACUUUAAACUUGUAAUGGAUUUUGGUUUGGUGGGAGGUGGUGGCUACUACGUGCCUGGUACUUGAUAAACAAAGAAGUUUAGUUCUCCUUAAACUUCAGUGGAUGUCUGAGUCAUUGGAGAUGUU
rnacentral:lncRNA from 1 species